GUCCCCGUAGCUCAGUGGAUAGAGCGUCGGCCUCCGGAGCCGAAAGCGGGAGUUCGAGUCUCCCCGGGGACGCCU
rnacentral:tRNA from 1 species